rnacentral:rRNA from 1 species
AUGCGUGCGUACCGCUCCGUGCUCUCCGUCCGGAGUCCCUUCCUUGAUGCCAUCUUCGCGCGUCGUGCCGCUGAAGGGGAGGGCAACCCGCUGGACCUCCGGGAGCUUCUGGGUGAGGAGGUGGAGGUCGGGUAUGAGGCACUGCAGUUGGUGCUCGAGUACCUGUACACCGGCUGCAUCCGCGACCUUCCCAAGUCGGCAUGCGUUUGCGCAGACGUGGACGGCUGCGCCCAUGUCGGCUGCCUCCCUGCCAUCUCGUUCAUGGCGCAGGUCAUCUUUGCCGCAUCCAUCUUCCAGGUUGCCGUGCUCACCAACCACUUCCAGCGGCUUCUCCUUGAUGUCCUUGAUGAUGUUGAAGUGGAUAACCUUCCAUUGAUCUUAUCUGUUGCGAACUUAUGCAAUAAAUCUUGCAUGCAUCUGCUCGAGAGAUGCCUUGAGAUGGUAGUCCGGUCAAAUCUUGACAUGAUUACUCUUGAGAAAGCAUUGCCUUCAGAUAUCAUCGAGCAGAUUACUGAUUCACGGCUAAGUCUUGGACUAGUUUCACCCGAAGAUAAGGGAUUUCCUAACAAACAUGUAAGAAGGAUACUCAGAGCUCUUGAUUCUGAUGAUGUGUGUUUAGUGAGGAUGCUGCUCAAAGAAGGGCGGACUAAUCUUGAUGGUGCAUUUGCAUUGCACCAUGCUGUAGAACAUUGUGACUCGAAGGUCACAAUGGAACUUCUGGAUAUCGGACUUGCAGAUGUUAAUCAUAGAAAUCCAAGAGGUUAUACUGUUCUUCACGUUGCUGCCAGGCGAAGAGAUCCUAAAAUUCUUGUCUCUGUUUUAACCAAAGGUGCUCGGCAUUCUGAUCUUACAUUUGAUGGAAGAAAAGCAGUUCAAAUCUCAAAGAGACUCACAAAACAUGGGGAUUACUUUGGGAUUACAGAAGAAGGAAAACCGUCUCGUGAAGAUAGGUUAUGCAUUAAGAUACUGGAGCAAGCUGAAAGAAGGGAUCCACAACUUGGAGAAGCAUCGGUUUCUCUUGCAAUAGCUGGUGACCGUCAACGUGGAAAGCUGUUGUACCUCGAAAAUCGAGUUGCUUUGAUGAGGAUAAUGUUUCCAACUGAGGCAAGAAUAGCAAUGGACAUCGCUCAAGUGGAUUGUACUUUGAAGUUAACCCUUGAUUCUGGGGCAAAACCUCCUCCGGAGAAAGAACUGGCAACCAUUGAUCUAAAUGAAACUCCUUUCCAUAUGAAUGAAGAACACUUAGCUCGGAUGAGUACCCUCUCCAAAACAGUUGAACUCUGUAAACGCUUCUUUCCGCGUUGUUCAAAUGUGAUAGACAAGAUUAUGGAUGAUGAACCUGAGCUGGCUCCUCUUCAAAGAGACGCAUCCACCGAGAGGACUCGGAGGUUCGGUUACCUGCAGGACGCGGUUCAGAAGGCAUUAAGCGAGGACAAGGCUAGUUUUGACAAAUCUGGGUCAUAG